ACGUUCGACACCUACGGGGGGCAGCAGUGGGGAAUAUUGCACAAUGGGGGAAACCCGUGAUGCAGCGACGCCGCGUGAGCGAAGAAGUAUUUCGGUAUGUAAAGCUCUAUCAGCAGGGAAGAAACUGACGGUACCUGACUAAGAAGCACCGGCUAAAUACGUGCCAGCAGCCGAGGUAAUCUGAGCGGGCUGGCAAGGC
rnacentral:rRNA from 1 species